rnacentral:rRNA from 1 species
AGGGAUUGCCUUAGUAACGGCGAGUGAAGCGGCAACAGCUCAAAUUUGAAAGCUGGCCCUUUCAGGGUCCGCGUUGUAAUUUGUAGAGGAUGAUUCGGCGAGGGCUCCCGCCUAAGUCCCCUGGAACGGGGCGUCAUAGAGGGUGAGAAUCCCGUAUGCGGUGGGCUGCCUUAGCCAUGUGAAUCUCCUUCGACGAGUCGAGUUGUUUGGGAAUGCAGCUCUAAAUGGGAGGUAAAUUUCUUCUAAAGCUAAAUACCGGCCAGAGACCGAUAGCGCACAAGUAGAGUGAUCGAAAGAUGAAAAGCACUUUGGAAAGAGAGUUAAAAAGUACGUGAAAUUGUUGAAAGGGAAGCGCUUGCAACCAGACUUGUCCGCAGUUGCUCAGCCGGUCUCCUGACCGGCGUACUCUUCUGCGGCCAGGCCAGCAUCAGUUCGGGCGGUCGGAUAAAGACCUCGGGAAUGUGGCUCCUCUCGGGGAGUGUUAUAGCCCGGGGUGGAAUGCGGCCAGCCUGGACUGAGGAUCUCGCUUCGGCAAGGAUGCUGGCGUAAUGGUUGUAAGCGGCCCGUCUUGAAACACGGACCAAGGAGUCUAACAUCUAUGCGAGUGUUUGGGUGUCAAACCCAUACGCGUAAUGAAAGUGAACGGAGGUGGGAACCCGCAAGGGCGCACCAUCGGCCGAUCCUGAUGUCUUCGGAUGGAUUUGAGCAAGAGCAUAGCUGUUGGGACCCGAAAGAUGGUGAACUAUGCCUGAAUAGGGUGAAGCCAGAGGAAACUCUGGUGGAGGCUCGCAGCGGUUCUGACGUGCAAAUCGAUCGUCAAAUUUGGGUAUAGGGGCGAAAGACUAAUCGAACCAU